ACCAAGGAGUCUAGCAUGUGCGCGAGUCAUUGGGACUUGACUAAACCUAAAGGCGAAAUGAAAGUGAAGGUCCGCCUCGCGCGGACCGAGGGAGGAUGGGCCCUCCCGAGGGGGGGCCCCGCACUCCCGGGGCGUCUCGUUCUCAUCGCGAGAGGAGGCGCACCCAGAGCGUACACGCUGGGACCCGAAAGAUGGUGAACUAUGCCUGGUCAGGACGAAGUCAGGGGAAACCCUGAUGGAGGUCCGUAGCGAUUCUGACGUGCAAAUCGAUCGUCGGAACUGGGUAUAGGGGCGAAAGACUAAUCGAACCAUCUAGUAGCUGGUUCCCUCCGAAGUUUCCCUCAGGAUAGCUGGCGCUCGCCGCGCGCGAGUCUCAUCCGGUAAAGCGAAUGAUUAGAGGCAUUGGGGUCGAAACGGCCUCAACCUAUUCUCAAACUUUAAAUGGGUGAGAUCUCCGGCUUGCUCGAACGCAUUUCGUUUUGAAGCCGCGAGAUUUCGGAUCAGAGUGCCAAGUGGGCCACUUUUGGUAAGCAGAACUGGCGCUGUGGGAUGAACCAAACGCAGAGUUAAAGCGCCCAAAUCGACGCUUAUGGGAUACCAUGAAAGGCGUUGGUAACUUAAGACAGCAGG
rnacentral:rRNA from 1 species